UACGAAGGGGGCUAGCGUUGUUCGGAAUUACUGGGCGUAAAGGGCGCGUAGGCGGUCCUGAUCGUCGGAUGUGAAAGGCCUGGGCUCAACCUGGGAACUGCAUCCGAUACGGCGGGACUGGAGUGUGGGAGAGGUUGGUGGAAUUCCCAGUGUAGAGGUGAAAUUCGUAGAUAUUCGCAAGAACACCAGUGGCGAAGGCGGCUCACUGGCCCGUAACUGACGCUGAGGCACGAAAGCGUGGGGAGCAAACAGG
rnacentral:rRNA from 1 species